AUAUUUGAAAAUAUUUAAUAAAUGUGAUAAGUUUCCAUUAUAAGAAUUCGAUUAUAUGUUUAUUUAGAUUGGCUUAUCUUGCUAGACUCUAUAUUUUUUCGAGUGCUUAUGCAAUAAUGCACAGUAAUAUUUCUCGAAAUAGUUUUAUCAGCUCUUAAAUAUAAAUUUUUUUUAAUUUUCUGUUUUUCGCAGUUUUUUCUCUUAACU